rnacentral:rRNA from 1 species
AUGAAGAUAAGGAAGAAAGAGAUGUUUAUUUGCUGUCCAAAAAGUUCUCUCACGUCACUUUUGGCCCAAGAGAAGAUAGAGUCCAAGUCUCUCACGUUCUGGAUUCAGAUUCGGACUGCACAGACAUAUCUGACUCAAAACGCACACAAGUUUUUCAUACGGACUCCGAAUUGGGUGAUUCUUUUUUUGUUGGAAACUAGAUUCCGUGCACUUUCCAACCCAAUUGGAAUCACCUUCAAAUUCGUCCGGAGCGUUGAGUUGUGGACGAAACAAUCUGAUGCUGCAGCAGAAUCCGAGUCAAACUACAAGUCCAAAGGUGUUACAUCACCUCCACUUGGGCCCAUUGGCCUUGUACGACCUAGAUUUAGUUUUAGGCUGCCUUGGGACGUCCUCCCACCUCCUUGGCCGCCACCCCUUGCUCCUAUAUAA